UUCGAGUGCACUUUUUUAGGCAAAUAGAAUGGCAUAUAAAAAUGUGGUCACAAAAUUAUUAACCAUAGUUUGUUUCAAUCUGCAGUAAACAAGCCAACAAUCAAAAUGUUCAAAACCUUGUUAGUACUUGCCGUCUUGGCCGUUGCUUUUGUAGCAGCCAAACCGGCACCAUCUCCAAUUGUGUACACUGCUGGUGCUUACCCAUACGCCUCUGCUGCUUACCCAUACGCUGGCUACUCUUUUGGAAGUCUCCCAUUCCUUGGAUACAGUGCUGGAAUUUAUGGAGGAUAUUACUGAAUGCAUUUUAUAAGCUAAAUAAAAAUUAAUAAUACUCAUCAA